GCAUCGAUGAAGAACGCAGCGAAAUGCGAUAAGUAAUGUGAAUUGCAGAAUUCAGUGAAUCAUCGAAUCUUUGAACGCACCUUGCGCUCCAUGGUAUUCCGUGGAGCAUGCCUGUUUGAGUGUCAUGAAUACUUCAACCCUCCUCUUUCUUAAUGAUUGAAGAGGUGUUUGGUUUCUGAGCGCUGCUGGCCUUUAGGGUCUAGCUCGUUCGUAAUGCAUUAGCAUCCGCAAUCGAACUUCGGAUUGACUUGGCGUAAUAGACUAUUCGCUGAGGAAUUCUAGUCUUCGGACUAGAGCCGGGUUGGGUUAAAGGAAGCUUCUAAUCAGAAUGUCUACAUUUUAAGAUUAGAUCUCAAAUCAGGUAGGACUACCCGCUGAACUUAAGCAUAUCAAUAAGCGGAGGA
rnacentral:rRNA from 1 species